rnacentral:rRNA from 1 species
UGCGUUUUAAUUUUUAACUCUAAUUUUUGUUUUGUCUUGAUUUUUUUUUUUUUUUUUUUUCAAAUUUUGUAAAAUGGUUGGUUUUUUUAAAAUUUUGUGUAGGAUAUUUAAAAUUUGUUUUUUGAACUGGAUUAGUACCCAGGUAAUCAAAGUUUAGUAAUUCGGGAGUAAAGUUUUGUUUAAACCGAAAAAAUAUUGACUGACUUUAGAUUUUUCUUUGGAACAUGUGACAUAUUAGGAUAGUCCUCCUUUUUUGUUUUUUCUGUAGGCACAUGUAUGAUUGUUUAGCUUUUAUUUUUUUUGUGAUGCUUUUACUUUUUUUGUUUUAAAAUAGAUAUAUAUUUGGCUUAUGUUUUUUUGUUUAUGUGUUACUAUUUUUAAUUUUUUUUGGAUUAUUUUUUAAUUUUUAUAUGAAAUUGGAAAAGAGAGUAAUUUAAUUUUUAUGUUUUGGUGAAUUUAUAAAGA